CUUUCUUCAUGUUCUACCUCUACUAUUCUGAUAGGUUUAACAAUUAUAAGGUUUAAUUACUACACAAGAAAUGUUACAUUUCUCUUGUAACUUAGAUUCUUUUAAUAUUCUGCAGCCUAUAUAGGCGCUUAUACCUAUAUUAAUAUUAUCUUUAUUACCGCUGUCAUUUGCAGUUUUAAUAAUUAACUCUCAAACUAAUCUGUUAAUAUAUAAUCUUAUGACAUAGUGAAUGACUUCCUAUUUUGUGCUGUACAGUAUUGACAGAAAUCUCUUGGGAUGAUCCAUAUCAAUCUCUUUUGAGACUACCCCAUCAUCAAUCUUCCCAUUAUUCCUAUCAUUAUUUGAACCAGUACCUGCUUGCCUUCGGCUCCUCCUCCUCUACAGGCUUGCAUCCAGGCUCUGUGAGGUGCACGGUGACCCUACCUGCAUGCAUAAGAGGAUUAUUUCCUCUUUUUCCCAUCCCCCCUUCCUUCCAUCUGGGAUUUUCCAUCUGGGAUUUUGAGCCAAUCACGGCUAACUACUCAGGUUUUUCAGUCCAUUUUUUCAGACUACUGCCCCCCAUUGGUUCCUGACGAAGCCCCCUUGGGCGAAACUAGUAGAACCGUUACAUGUGGGAUGAAAUGAAGAUCACCU